rnacentral:lncRNA from 1 species
UCGGCACAGUGGAGGUUGACAAGAUCAAGGCCAAGUUUGCCCAAAGAAGUGAAAGGCUAGACGCGAACAAGAUUCAGACUUUUGUAAAGUACCAUUCUCAGUGGUUCGUUUAUUGAUUUGUUGGUCUUCCAAUAACUGCGUUAAGCAUGUCAUGCUAAUGCAGUCGUGUCGUGCAUUCUUGGCGACCCGACUGGCGACCUGUGUAAGUGGCCUCAAGAACCAGAAGUAUGUAAUGCUAAGUUUGACUGUUGGGGAGGGAACUGGAGGGGAGAAGAGAAUAUAAUUUGUCCAACGAGUUAGUGUAUUCUACUCGAAUUAAUACAUCCCUCAUUGUUGCGAACGAUAUCGUUUUGGAAAACUAUUAGUUUGCAACAGAGCGAAAAGCAGCAGAGCUUGUCCGAUUGUAAAAGUUAGGGUUGAAGAGCUCAAAUAUAUUCAC